CACCAAGUACAAAGCAUACCAGUAUAUUUUGUGGGUUGUGGCACUCGUCUUGCUGUUAGUUGGGUUUGUGAUUUCACUGGUGAUGCUUUUCAAAGGGAAGAACGGGAACGAUGGCUGCCAUUGGUGCCACUACCUGAACUGCGUGCCAACAUCCAAGUGGAAGUGUAACACCUAGACA